UACAGAGGUCCCAAGCGUUGUUCGGAUUCACUGGGCGUAAAGGGCGCGUAGGCGGCCUUCUAAGUCAGACGUGAAAUCCCCCGGCUUAACCUGGGAACUGCGUCUGAUACUGGGAGGCUUGAGUAUGGGAGAGGGAUGUAGAAUUCCAGGUGUAGCGGUGAAAUGCGUAGAUAUCUGGAGGAACACCGGUGGCGAAGGCGACAUCCUGGACCGGCAUUGACGCUGAGGCGCGAAAGCCAGGGGAGCAAACGGG
rnacentral:rRNA from 1 species